rnacentral:rRNA from 1 species
UUCCAGUAAACUAACUGUGUUACGACUUACCUCUUCUUUAGAAGAGGGCGACGGGCGAUAUGUACACCUAAAUUCAUUUUCGUUCUCAAUUUUUAUUAAAAAACUACUUCCAAAUCCUUUUUCAGUUUUUCUUUAGAAUAAAAUCUUUUAAUAAGUUUAAUGAGUAAUUAGCUUUAUCUUCAUUAUGGACUUCACCUUGACCUGACUUACGAAAAAAUGUUUGGGCAGAAGAUGGAAAUUCUACCUUUAGACGGCGGUAUAAAAGAUAGAAAUGAAGAGAAAAUAAACGGGAAAAAUCGAGAAAAAGCAAAUUCCUC